rnacentral:tRNA from 1 species
GCUGAUGUAGCUCAGUCGGCAGAGCACUUCCUUGGUAAGGAAGAGGUCACCCGUUCGAAUCGGGCCAUCAGCU